rnacentral:misc_RNA from 1 species
GAUGAAGAACGUAGCGAAGUGCGAUACUUGGUGUGAAUUGCAGAAUCCCGUGAACCAUCGAGUCUUUGAACGCAAGUUGCGCCCGAAGCCAUCAGGUUGAGGGCACGUCUGCCUGGGCGUCACAUAUCGUUGCCCAAUGCCUAUUGCAGUGCAAUAGGAAUUUCUAGGGCGAAUGAUGGCUUCCCGUGAGCGUUGUUGCCUCGCGGUUGGUUGAAAAUCGAGUCCUUGGUAGGGUGUGCCAUGGUAGAUGGUGGUCGAGUUAGAACGAUACCGAUCAUGUGCAUGCUCCCCAAAAUAUGGCCUCUAUGACCCACACGCGUCUUUUGACGCUCAUGACGAGACCUCAGGUCAGGCGGGGCUACCCGCUGAAUUUAAGCAUAUCAAUAAGCGGAGGA